UACGUAGGGCGCAAGCGUUGUCCGGAAUUAUUGGGCGUAAAGAGCUCGUAGGCGGUUUGUCGCGUCUGCCGUGAAAGCCCGGGGCUUAACUCCGGUCGUGCGGUGGAUACGGGCAGACUAGAGGCAGGUAGGGGAGAACGGAAUUCCCGGUGUAGCGGUGAAAUGCGCAGAUAUCGGGAGGAACACCGGUGGCGAAGGCGGUUCUCUGGGCCUGUACUGACGCUGAGGAGCGAAAGCGUGGGGAGCGAACAGG
rnacentral:rRNA from 1 species